rnacentral:rRNA from 1 species
GAUUAACGCUAGCGGAAGGCAUAAUACAUGCAAGUCGAACGGGAUAGAACUUAGCAAUAGGUUCUUGAGAGUGGCGCACGGGUGCGUAACGCGUAUGCAAUCUACCUUUUGCAGGGGAAUAGCCCAGAGAAAUUUGGAUUAAUGCCCCAUAGUAUAAUGACUCGGCAUCGAGAUAUUAUUAAAGUCACAACGGCAAAAGAUGAGCAUGCGUCCCAUUAGCUAGUUGGUAAGGUAACGGCUUACCAAGGCGACGAUGGGUAGGGGUCCUGAGAGGGAGAUCCCCCCACACUGGUACUGAGACACGGACCAGACUCCUACGGGAGGCAGCAGUGAGGAAUAUUGGACAAUGGGCGCAAGCCUGAUCCAGCCAUGCCGCGUGCAGGAUGAAGCAUCUAUGGUGUGUAAACUGCUUUUGUACGGAACGAAAAGGUCUCUAUUAAUACGGGGGCUCAUGACGGUACCGUAAGAAUAAGCACCGGCUAACU